ensembl:snRNA U6 U6 spliceosomal RNA
GUGCUUGCUUUGGCAGCACAUAUACUAAAAUUGAAAUAAUGCUGAGAUUAGCAUGGCACCCAAGCAAGGAUGACGCUCAAAUUCAUGAGGUGUUCCAUAUUUUU